rnacentral:rRNA from 1 species
GGUGCGCAGGCGGUUAGUUUUGUGGGUGGUGAAAUCUCCUGGCUCAACUGGGAGGGGGCCGAACCAAACGGGCUAACUUGAGGCGUGGAGAGGGACGUGGAAUUCCGGGUGGAGCGGUGAAAUGCGUAGAGAUCCGGAGGAACACCGACGGCGAAGGCAGCGUCCUGGCCACGACCUGACGCUCAGGCACGAAAGCUGGGGGAGGCAAAACA